UACGUAGGGUGCGAGCGUUAAUCGGAAUUACUGGGCGUAAAGCGUGCGCAGGCGGUUCUCCAAGUCCGUUGGGAAAGCCCCGGGCUCAACCUGGGAAUGGCAGUGGAAACUAGGGGACUGGAAUCUGGCAGAGGGGGGUGGAAUGCCGCGUGUAGCAGUGAAAUGCGUAGAGAUGCGGAGGAACACCGAUGGCGAAGGCAGCCCCCUGGGCCGACACUGACGCUCAGGCACGAAAGCGUGGGGAGCAAGCAGG
rnacentral:rRNA from 1 species